CAGAUGAGCCCGGGCUCCAGGAUGAAUUAUCCUAACAAUAGUUUCUUCCUUCAGAGGUUCAUGAGGCUCAUGAGCUUGAGCUCAUCAACAAGCAAAGGAUUUCUAUUGCUGGUUCUUUAAAGACAUUGGCUAACAUCCUUUAUUUUCAUACCGUGGGAUGCUACUUCCAAUCGGUACAAUGAUUGUUGGAUUUGAUGGAUCUGGUCCGGUCUUGGUACUAUGUUGAUAGCGAGGGUGCUUGGUUCAAGGGAAGCAGCCUGUUCUCUAGUUCUUUGUAUGCUUAUAUGGUAUCUUGGAUGAGGGUUACAAAUUCAACAUGUCAGUUGAGGAAGCUGCUGAGUUAGCACGGUGGGCUUUUAUCACGCAACAUUCUGUGACAUGACAAAGCUAAUGGUGGCAGUGUUCGUGGUGGCAAUGUAUGAUGCCAUUUGCAACCUUCUUGAGUAAGCUGAAACAUGAGUAACUCCAUUAAUUUUUAUGUAGGUAUGUUAAUAAUCAUUAUGUCACAUUGUAAUUCCAUCACAAGAAUCAUCUCUCCUAUUUCAUCCUCUGAAUUUCUGUACUGCUGGUGCUUACAUAUAUGUAUAUUUCGCUUCUGCUUGAGUCUCUCCUGUCUGAUCCGGUAUUGAUGAUCUAUGUGGCCGAAAAAAAUACAUUGCCUGUGAUUUGUUUAGAUGCAUCAUGAUAUCCAGCUGUGUUGUUAUGGCUUCAAAAUAUGUCUACAGAGUAUUAUUGAUGGUUAUUUUGCAUGUUGGGUUAUAUUAGUAAUGUGCCUUGAAAUUAUUUUCCCUCCUCGUCUUGGUGUCUUGUGUUGGUAUGGCCUAAAAAUGUGUAUUAAGAAGUAUUUAUGAUUGCCAUUUGCAUGCUGGGUCAUAUUAGUGAUGUGGUUUAUUUAUUCAUGGUUCAGAUUGUUUGUUUGGUCUUUUGAUUUACACAUUUGUCCAUAAUUUUUUUAUAUGUAUAUAUACAGUCGUCUCGGAAUGGGAUAUGAUUCUUUUUGGUAUUUCAGUUUACAAGUUCAUCCUAGGAAUCUUGAUAUCUGGUUGUGUUGGUAUAGUUUUGUAAUUUUUCGCCUGGAAUCCAUCUAUCGAGUCUGCUUUUUCUUUGUUCUGUUCAUCAAGGUUUGCUCCCUUCUUUUAAUGCAUUAGCUUUGUUUUAAUUGUACUCUUGUGAUGCUUGUUGGUUAAGUGAUGAUUUUACAUUCUGGAUUAGGCCGACGUGUCGUGUUCUAUUUUGCGUCGUGCUGCUUAUAUUUCGUGGUUGCCUGUGGACAGGAAGUGUGCACUUGUUUCCAUUGUACCUAUUUUGGAAGCCGUGGUAGCGCGAUAGGCUUUACCAGCGCUUGCAUACUUGCGUGAGGUCGCAAAACAUAAUAGUUUGGCGCAUCCUGCUAUGUGACACAUUGUGACCAUCCUCGAUAAUAUUUUCCUCUUGGUCUUUUCUGUACAUAACAGUGUGAUACGACACCUAUAGAAAUUGCUGCAGACUAUUGAAGAAGAGAGCCUGUGGAGAUUGGACGUGGAGUAUAUGAACUCGAGUGCACAGGAGUUCGUUAUCUGUCCCGUUCGGUACUGCGCUGUGAUUCGGUGCAUUGAAUGCUCACAACAGGCCCGUGGUCGACCAGGAAUUUGGAAAUUGAGAUAUACGUAGAGGUGCAGACCUGACUGGUUGGCAAUAGCUCUGACGGAAGUUGGGACGCCGUCGACUGAUCGGAGGAGAGCCGUGGCUCGGGACGUCGGUGCCGUCCUGAUCCGUGGUUCAGAAUUGUUGCUUUUUGGUAGUGUUGACAGUGAUCGAGUAAAUGCAGGGAUGGGUAGAUGCAAGCAACUGUCUCCUACCUUACGAGACUAGAUCUUUCUUCUCUUGAGGCCGGUGAACCGGAGGAGGCGACUGCGGCUGCCGGAGAACAUGGACUUCUUGAUGCAACCGAUUAACAGGAGUGUUUGAGGUGAACGAGAGUGACAUACCCAUGGUGCCCCUCCGGUACCCAGUGAUGGCGCAGCUUCGCGGCCAGAUCUGUGCGAUGGAAGUGGCGGCGCAGGCACCUGGUCGAGAUCGACCCCAAGCCUCAGAGCAAAUCCAUAGAGCAGAUCGACCCCAAGAGUCCAGGAUGGAUGCGUAGGUAAGAAGUUUUUGCUGGUACUGAUAUUUUCUGCUUGUUGAAGUGCUGCAAAAUUCAGUCUGAAAAGUGACUGCUGCCGGCAUUCAGUGAUUUUCCUGUAAUAAUCUGUUUCAGCGCUAUCGAUGAUUUUCACGUACAGGCGACGUGUGUCCACAUAGACUAUGUUGAUUGAUUUUGCUGUAUCAUGUCUACGUUUGUGUAGUUAAAGGGACGAGUCUAAACUGUUUAUUAAGUGGUGAUUGUUCCUGCAUGACAACGCGACAUAGAGCUUUGUAACUAUGGGAACAGAUCUGAAAAGUUAA